rnacentral:rRNA from 1 species
AUUGAACGCCGGCGGCAUGCCUUACACAUGCAAGUCGAACGGCAGCACGGGUGCUUGCACCUGGUGGCGAGUGGCGAACGGGUGAGUAAUACAUCGGAACGUACCUUAUCGUGGGGGAUAACGCAGCGAAAGCUGUGCUAAUACCGCAUACGCCCUGAGGGGGAAAGCGGGGGAUCGCAAGACCUCGCGCGAUUAGAGCGGCCGAUGCCUGAUUAGCUUGUUGGUGGGGUAAAAGCCCACCAAGGCGACGAUCAGUAGCUGGUCUGAGAGGACGAUCAGGCACACGGGGACUGAGACACGGCCCAGAAUCCUACGGGAGGCAGCAGUGGGGAAUUUUGGACAAUGGGGGCAACCCUGAUCCAGCAAUGCCGCGUGAGUGAAGAAGGCCUUCGGGUUGUAAAGCUCUUUUGUCAGGGAAGAAACACCGGCUCUAACACAGUCCGGGAAUGACGGUACCUGAAGAAUAAGCACCGGCUAACUACGUGCCAGCAGCCGCAGUAA